rnacentral:rRNA from 1 species
CACGUAGGGCGCAAGCGUUGUCCGGAAUUAUUGGGCGUAAAGAGCUCGUAGGCGGUCUGUUGCGUCCGCUGUGAAAACUCGGGGCUUAACCCCGAGCCUGCAGUGGAUACGGGCAGACUAGAGGUAGGUAGGGGAGAAUGGAAUUCCCGGUGUAGCGGUGAAAUGCGCAGAUAUCGGGAGGAACACCAGAGGCGAAGGCGGCCACCUGGACAGACACUGACGCUGAGACGCGAAAGCGUGGGGAGCAAACAGG